CCUACGGGUGGCAGCAGUCGAGAAUCAUUCACAAUGGGGGAAACCCUGAUGGUGCGACGCCGCGUGGGGGAAUGAAGGUCUUCGGAUUGUAAACCCCUUUCAUGUGGGAGCAAAUUAAAAAGAUAGUACCACAAGAGGAAGAGACGGCUAACUCUGUGCCAGCAGCCGCGGUAAUACAGAGGUCUCAAGCGUUGUUCGGAAUGACUGGGCGUAAAGCGUGCGUAGGCUGUUUCGUAAGUCGUGUGUGAAAGGUGCGGGCUCAACCCGCGGACUGCAACUGAUACUGGGAGACUAGAGGAUUGGAGGGGGAACCGGAAUUCUCGGUGUAGCAGUGAAAUGCGUAGAUAUCGAGAGGAACACUCGUGGCGAAGGCGGGUUCCUGGACAUUAACUGACGCUGAGGCACGAAGGCCAGGGGAGCGAAAGGGAUUAGAUACCCCUGUAGUC
rnacentral:rRNA from 1 species